ACGAACGCUGGCGGCAUGCCUAACACAUGCAAGUCGAACGAGACCUUCGGGUCUAGUGGCGCACGGGUGCGUUACGCGUGGGAACCUGCCCUUAGGUUCGGAAUAACUCCCCGAAAGGGGUGCUAAUACCGGAUAAUGUCUUCGGACCAAAGAUUUAUCGCCUUUGGAUGGGCCCGCGUUGGAUUAGCUAGUUGGUAGGGUAAAAGCCUACCAAGGCGACGAUCCAUAGCUGGUCUGAGAGGAUGAUCAGCCACACUGGGACUGAGACACGGCCCAGACUCCUACGGGAGGCAGCAGUGGGGAAUAUUGGACAAUGGGCGAAAGCCUGAUCCAUCAAUGCCGCGUGAGUGAUGAAGGCCUUAGGGUUGUAAAGCUCUUUUACCCGGGAUGAUAAUGACAGUACCGGGAGAAUAAGCUCCGGCUAACUCCGUG
rnacentral:rRNA from 1 species